CAGCAGCCGCGGUAAUACGUAGGGUGCAAGCGUUAAUCGGAAUUACUGGGCGUAAAGCGUGCGCAGGCGGUUAUAUAAGACAGAUGUGAAAUCCCCGGGCUCAACCUGGGAACUGCAUUUGUGACUGUAUAGCUAGAGUACGGCAGAGGGGGAUGGAAUUCCGCGUGUAGCAGUGAAAUGCGUAGAUAUGCGGAGGAACACCGAUGGCGAAGGCAAUCCCCUGGGCCUGUACUGACGCUCAUGCACGAAAGCGUGGGGAGCAAACAGGAUUAGAUACCCGCGUAGUCCCUGUCUCUUAUAU
rnacentral:rRNA from 1 species